rnacentral:rRNA from 1 species
UACGGAGGGUGCAAGCGUUAUCCGGAUUUACUGGGCGUAAAGGGCUCGUAGGUGGCCAACUAAGUCAGACGUGAAAUCCCUCGGCUUAACCGGGAAACUGCGUCUGAUACUGGAUGGCUUGAGUUUGGGAGAGGGAUGCGGAAUUCCAGGUGUAGCGGUGAAAUGCGUAGAUAUCUGGAGGAACACCGGUGGCGAAGGCGGCAUCCUGGACCAACACUGACACUGAGGAGCGAAAGCCAGGGGAGCAAACGGG